UGCAAGUCGAACGGUAACAGCACUUCGGUGGCUGACGAGUGGCGAACGGGUGAGUAAUACAUCGGAACGUGCCCGAGAGUGGGGGAUAACGCAGCGAAAGCUGUGCUAAUACCGCAUACGAUCUACGGAUGAAAGCAGGGGACCGCAAGGCCUUGCGCUCAUGGAGCGGCCGAUGGCAGAUUAGGUAGUUGGUGGGAUAAAAGCUUACCAAGCCGACGAUCUGUAGCUGGUCUGAGAGGACGACCAGCCACACUGGGACUGAGACACGGCCCAGACUCCUACGGGAGGCAGCAGUGGGGAAUUUUGGACAAUGGGCGAAAGCCUGAUCCAGCCAUGCCGCGUGCAGGAUGAAGGCCUUCGGGUUGUAAACUGCUUUUGUACGGAACGAAAAGGUCUUUUCUAAUAAAGAAGGCUCAUGACGGUACCGUAAGAAUAAGCACCGGCUAACUACGUGCCAGCAGCCGCGGUAAUACGUAGGGUGCAAGCGUUAAUCGGAAUUACUGGGCGUAAAGCGUGCGCAGGCGGUUAUAUAAGACAGAUGUGAAAUCCCCGGGCUCAACCUGGGAACUGCAUUAGUGACUGUAUAGCUAGAGUGCGGCAGAGGGGGAUGGAAUUCCGCGUGUAGCAGUGAAAUGCGUAGAUAUGCGGAGGAACACCGAUGGC
rnacentral:rRNA from 1 species